rnacentral:rRNA from 1 species
UACGUAGGGUGCAAGCGUUGUCCGGAAUUAUUGGGCGUAAAGAGCUUGUAGGCGGUUUGUCGCGUCUGCUGUGAAAUUUCGGGGCUCAACCCCGAACUUGCAGUGGGUACGGGCAGACUAGAGUGUGGUAGGGGAGACUGGAAUUCCUGGUGUAGCGGUGAAAUGCGUAGAUAUCAGGAGGAACACCUGUGGUGUAGACAGCUUACUGGACCACUUCUGACGCUGAGACACGAAAGCGUGGGUAGCAAACAGG